rnacentral:rRNA from 1 species
UUAAAGGGUCCGUAGCCGGCUUAUUAAGUCUCUUGGGAAAUCUGGCGACUUAAUCGUCAGGCGUCCAAGAGAUACUGAUAGGCUUGGGACCGGGAGAGGUGGGAGGUACUCCAGGGGUAGGGGUGAAAUCUCGUGAUCCUUGGGGGACCACCGAUGGCGAAGGCAUCCCACCAGAACGGGUCCGACGGUGAGGGACGAAAGCUGGGGGCACGAACCGGAUUAGAUACCCGGGUAGUCCCAGCUGUAAACGAUGCUCGCUAGGUGUCAGAUGCGGUGCGACCGCAUCUGGUGCCGCAGUGAAAACUUGAAGCGAGUCACCUGGGAAGUACGGUCGCAAGGCUGAAACUUAAAGGAAUUGGCGGGGGAGCACUACAACGGGUGGAGCCUGCGGUUCAAUUGGAUUCAACGCCGGAAAGCUUACCGGGUCAGACAGCAAUAUGAAGGUCAAGCUAAAGACUUUACCGAAUUCGCUGAGAGGAGGUGCAUGGCCGUCGUCAGUUCGUAUCGUGAGACAUCCUGUUAAGUCAGGCAACGAGCAAGACCCGUGCCCACAGUUGCCAGCAUACCCUCCGGGGUGAUGGGCACACUGUGGGGACCGCCGCUGCUAAAGCGGAGGAAGGGGCGGGCUACGGUAGGUCAGUAUGCCCCGAAUCAUCCGGGCUACACGCGGGCUACAAUGGUUGGGACAAUGGGCACCUACACCGAGAGGUGAUGGUAAUCUCCUAAACCCAGCCUUAGUUCGGAUUGAGGGCUGCAACCCGCCCUCAUGAAGCCGGAAUCCGUAGUAAU